rnacentral:rRNA from 1 species
UACGUAGGGUGCAAGCGUUGUCCGGAAUUAUUGGGCGUAAAGAGCUCGUAGGCGGUCUGUCGCGUCGGAUGUGAAAACCCAGGGCUCAACCCUGGGCCUGCAUUCGAUACGGGCAGACUAGAGUUCGGUAGGGGAGACUGGAAUUCCUGGUGUAGCGGUGAAAUGCGCAGAUAUCAGGAGGAACACCGGUGGCGAAGGCGUGUCUCUGGGCCGAAACUGACGCUGAGGAGCGAAAGCGUGGGGAGCAAACAGG